rnacentral:rRNA from 1 species
AGUAACGCGUGAGCAAUCUGCCUUUAAGAGGGGGAUAACAGUCGGAAACGGCUGCUAAUACCGCAUAAAGCAUCAAAUUCGCAUGUUUUUGAUGCCAAAGGAGCAAUCCACUUUUAGAUGAGCUCGCGUCUGAUUAGCUGGUUGGCGGGGUAACGGCCUACCAAGCCGACGAUCAGUAGCCGACCUGAGAGGGUGACCGGCCACAUUGGGACUGAGACACGGCCCAA